UUCACUCCGAGAUGACAGCGCAUUGACGCCGCUGCACGAUGGAGUGCGGGUUUUUUUCUCUUUUUGGAAAGUAGAAAUCCUGGAUGUGUUCAAACCAACAGAAACAUUCUCACCCGAUUUCUGGUCGGCAUGGAUGAGUUGGACUGAAAGCAUGGCCAAAUCACCUGACCUGCACAUCUUUGUGAGAG